CAGUCAGUGUACUAAAUUGCCAUUUCCUUUAGUGCUCUAAUACGUCCUGGUCGCUUUGAUAUGCAAGUUACUGUUCCCAAGCCUGAUGUGAGAGGUCGUACAGAAAUUCUGAAGUGGUACCUUAAUAAAAUCAAGUAUGAUCCAUCUGUUGAUCCAGAAAUAAUUGCACGAGGCACAGUAGGAUUUUCAGGAGCAGAGCUUGAAAAUCUUGUAAAUCAAGCUGCCCUGAAGGCAGCUGUUGAUGGAAAAGAUAUGGUAACCAUGAAG